GUCGGACAAGAAGAAUGUAAAGCCAACCAAAUAUCUAUACACUUAACAUGAAAACCAUGGUGACAUCUCGGCAAAACUCUCACUUUCUCACCAUCCAUAAAUUCGCCAAGACAAAUUGGACAAUCCGUUGCCGGAAUAUUAACUCCUGAUCCAUAAACUGUCACCGGAAGUUGCCUAAGCGUGCUCUUUUUCAGCCCUGUCGCAGCUAAGCGUGCAACCGUUGCAUUUUCUGACUCGAAAGCAAACCUCCGGCUACAACGCAAAGCUAAUUUCACAAUUGAAUUUAGACCAAGAGCACAUAUUAAUGCACAAAGUAGAGCUGCUAAAAUGAUCACCAUAUUAGUGUCGAAAUUUGCUUCGUUUGAGUAGCCAUGGUGUGGUUUGCUUAUAGUAGUGCUAGGUGGGACAACAGGACGGG
rnacentral:lncRNA from 1 species